rnacentral:tRNA from 5 species
UUAACUGAAACCAAAAAGAGGUAUAUUAUUGUUAAUAAUAAAAAUGAAGUAAUUAUUCCAGUUAAG